rnacentral:rRNA from 1 species
GACGUAGGGGGCGAGCGUUAUUCGGAAUUAUUGGGCGUAAAGCGCUCGUAGGCGGGACUGCAAGUCCGUGUUGAAAGACCUCGGCUCAACUGAGGGACCGGCUCGGAUACUGUGGUUCUUGAGGCAAUCAGAGGGUGAUGGAAUUCCCGGUGUAGCGGUGAAAUGCGUAGAUACCCGGAGGAACACCAGUGGCGAAGGCGGCUUCCUGGUCUGCGACUGACGCUGUGGCGCGAAAGCUAGGGGAGCAAACGGG